rnacentral:lncRNA from 1 species
AAUAGGGGGGUUUCACUCUUGGAAAUGGUGUCAGAAGAAAAUAAGGGCGCAGGGCCCAUAACUGAGCCCAUUAGCCAAUGCCUAGAACAGUCGGGGGGUGCGUGGUAAAACGUGGGGUGUAACACUGAAAAAAUGGGCCUAUGGGAGCAAGCUUGGCUCAGAGCACACAAUGGAAGAGGGAAGCUAAUUCAGCUAUUCAAAAGAGAUGAAGAAAAAUGCACACCGUGACUUCCCAACAUAUUCACCGGAGAAGAUGAAGCUGAUGACGACGAGAUUCUUAGGUACGCUCCUUCUACUAUGCACCUACCUUUUCUUUAUGGCCUUCGAAAGACACUUCUUUUUCCUCUCUUUCUCGUAUUGAGUCUUGAGUUCAUGUUUUUGAUGAGUGAGGUUGAUUUGUGAGUGAAUUUUGAUUGAGUGUGAUCAAUUGAGAGUGAGGUUGAUUUAUGAAGUUGAGUGAUGAAUUUUCAGUGAUGAAUGUGAGAGUGUGAUUGGAGAUGAUGAAUGAUUCUGAGAUUUUUUUCAGGGGAUGGAUUUGGUGAAAAAAAUGGGAAAAUGAGAGAGAGCCCCCUGAGUCAGUGAUGAUGAGUUUCUUACAGGUGGGUCGAGUUUAACUGAAUUGGUUAGAGUUUGUUAUUUUUCUGUUACAUUAUUAGACAUGCUGUCUAUUAGGGAUUUGGUUUUGGUUAGGGAAUUGUCAUUUCUGUUAGGUUUUUGUGUUAGGCCUGUUAUGAUAUGGAAUAGUUGGUUAGGAAAAUUAGGGUAGUUAUGAGCUGGUUGUGUGAUGUUAGUUGCAAGUUAGUGAAUGAGUGGUUAAUUAGGAUUGAUUAAAAUGCAGGUUAAUUGGAUGGUCUGUGAUGGUUCAGUUAGUUUUGCUGUUGGCUUUGUUGAAUGAUAUGCUUUUCAUUGUAUUGUGAACUAUUGUGUUGCCAUGCUAGUGUAUAUGAUGCUGCUGCUUUGAUGUUUUGCUGCCAUGGCAUUGUGGUUGUGAUAUUGUGCACUGCUGGCCUACUAGUUAUGUGUUGUGUAUGGAAAUGUUUUCCUUGUAUGAUUGUUGAUAGUGCAUUGUGAUGAUAGGCCUGUUUUUGAAACAUUGCUUGAAUGGAUUUGUGAUAGGGCUGCAACUUGGUGAAUGCUUGCUAGGUGAUGUAUUGACUGUGAUAUGAAUUGUUUGUAUAACCAUGUAUUGUUUGGAUGCUAUAUCUUUGUUGGAAAUGUAUGGUUAUCUUAGUAUGCUUGUUAUGUUUGGUAGUGAAAAUGCCAUGAUGAAAGUUAUGAGUGCUUGGUCAUGCUUGAAAUGUAUGAAUGGAAAGGUUUGACCUUGGUUUGUAGUAUAGUGUAUUGGAAUGUUAUUGAUGGAACAUGCUCAUGUAUGCCUUGCUUUGUGGAUGAGUGAACGCUUAAGUUUGACUUUGUUAUGAAUUGCUUGAAUGUGGGGCUGUUUUAGACAAAGUCAUGUUUGGAAAUGUGAUAUGUCAUUGUAACUUGUUAACAUAAUGCUUUGGUUGGUUUUUGUAGGAUGUGCAAAAGUGAUGGAACGAUGGAACAAUGCAAAGAUGACUUGUACUUGAAAACACAAUGGGAAGAUUUGGACCAUGGCAAUAUCAAGUGGAACAUUCAAGUGAAAAUGGACAUUAGGUUUUAGGAUGGUCAAAGUUGGUUAGUUGACUUUGGUCAACUGGUUGACCAAAAAGUCAACUUAAGUAGAAAAAUGUAUUUUUGUGUAGUGACUCUUGUAUAGACAUUUGCAAUGUAUGAUUGCAUGAAUGUAAUGACACUUUGUGAUAUAAUGGAUUGAUAUUGAAAUAGCAAUGAUGUUGUAUGCAAUUGGACUUGGAAAUGGAAUGGACCUUGAAUGAAUCAUGAAAUCAAUAACACAUGACUUGAAUGAAAUAGACC